rnacentral:rRNA from 1 species
UACGGAGGGGGCAAGCGUUGUUCGGAAUUACUGGGCGUAAAGGGCUCGUAGGCGGCCAACUAAGUCAGCCGUGAAAUCCCUCGGCUUAACCGGGGAACUGCGUCUGAUACUGGAUGGCUUGAGAUUGGGAGAGGGAUGCGGAAUUCCAGGUGUAGCGGUGAAAUGCGUAGAUAUCUGGAGGAACACCGGUGGCGAAGGUGACAUCCUGGACCAACACUGACGCUGAGGAGCGAAAGCCAGGGGAGCAAACGGG